GCUAUAUCAUGUUGAAACACUAGUUCCCAUACAAUCACCAGUUAAGCAACAUUAAGCCUGGUCAGUACCUUGAUGAGUGACUACUUGGGAAUACCAGAUGCUGUAAG